AUUGAACGCUGGCGGCAUGCUUUACACAUGCAAGUCGAACGGUAACAGGGAGCUUGCUCCGCUGACGAGUGGCGAACGGGUGAGUAAUGCGUCGGAACGUGCCGAGUAGUGGGGGAUAACGCAUCGAAAGGUGUGCUAAUACCGCAUACGUACUGAGGUAGAAAGUGGGGGACCUUCGGGCCUCACGCUAUUCGAGCGGCCGACGUCUGAUUAGCUAGUUGGUGAGGUAAAGGCUCACCAAGGCGACGAUCAGUAGCGGGUCUGAGAGGAUGAUCCGCCACACUGGGACUGAGACACGGCCCAGACUCCUACGGGAGGCAGCAGUGGGGAAUUUUGGACAAUGGGCGCAAGCCUGAUCCAGCCAUGCCGCGUGUCUGAAGAAGGCCUUCGGGUUGUAAAGGACUUUUGUCGGGGAGGAAAUCCCCAGCGCUAAUACCGCUGGGGGAUGACAGUACCUGAAGAAUAAGCACCGGCUAACUACGUGCCAGCAGCCGCAGUAAGAC
rnacentral:rRNA from 1 species